AUUGAACGCUGGCGGCAGGCCUAACACAUGCAAGUCGAGCGGAUGAGAGGAGCUUGCUCCUUGAUUUAGCGGCGGACGGGUGAGUAAUGCCUAGGAAUCUGCCUGGUAGUGGGGGAUAACGUCCGGAAACGGGCGCUAAUACCGCAUACGUCCUACGGGAGAAAGCAGGGGACCUUCGGGCCUUGCGCUAUCAGAUGAGCCUAGGUCGGAUUAGCUAGUUGGUGAGGUAAUGGCUCACCAAGGCGACGAUCCGUAACUGGUCUGAGAGGAUGAUCAGUCACACUGGAACUGAGACACGGUCCAGACUCCUACGGGAGGCAGCAGUGGGGAAUAUUGGACAAUGGGCGAAAGCCUGAUCCAGCCAUGCCGCGUGUGUGAAGAAGGUCUUCGGAUUGUAAAGCACUUUAAGUUGGGAGGAAGGGCAUUAACCUAAUACGUUAGUGUUUUGACGUACCG
rnacentral:rRNA from 1 species